rnacentral:rRNA from 1 species
UCUAGAAUUUUUUUUUUCUGCUCAGGAUGAACGCUGGCGGCGUGCCUAACACAUGCAAGUCGAGCGAUCUCUUCGGAGAGAGCGGCGGACGGGUGAGUAACGCGUGGGUAACCUGCCCUGUACACACGGAUAACAUACCGAAAGGUAUACUAAUACGGGAUAACAUACGAAAGUCGCAUGGCUUUUGUAUCAAAGCUCCGGCGGUACAGGAUGGACCCGCGUCUGAUUAGCUAGUUGGUAAGGUAAUGGCUUACCAAGGCAACGAUCAGUAGCCGACCUGAGAGGGUGAUCGGCCACACUGGAACUGAGACACGGUCCAGACUCCUACGGGAGGCAGCAGUGGGGAAUAUUGCACAAUGGGCGAAAGCCUGAUGCAGCAACGCCGCGUGAGCGAUGAAGGCCUUCGGGUCGUAAAGCUCUGUCCUCAAGGAAGAUAAUGACGGUACUUGAGGAGGAAGCCCCGGCUAACUACGUGCCAGCAGCCGCGGUAAUACGUAGGGGGCUAGCGUUAUCCGGAAUUACUGGGCGUAAAGGGUGCGUAGGUGGUUUUUUAAGUCAGAAGUGAAAGGCUACGGCUCAACCGUAGUAAGCUUUUGAAACUAGAGAACUAGAGUGCAGGAGAGGAGAGUAGAAUUCCUAGUGUAGCGGUGAAAUGCGUAGAUAUUAGGAGGAAUACCAGUAGCGAAGGCGGCUCUCUGGACUGUAACUGACACUGAGGCACGAAAGCGUGGGGAGCAAACAGGAUUAGAUACCCUGGUAGUCCACGCCGUAAACGAAGAGUACUAGGUGUCGGGGGUUACCCCCCUCGGUGCCGCAGCUAACGCAUUAAGACUCCGCCG